rnacentral:rRNA from 1 species
GACGAACGCUGGCGGCGUGCUUAACACAUGCAAGUCGAACGGAAAGGCCCUGCUUUUGUGGGGUGCUCGAGUGGCGAACGGGUGAGUAACACGUGAGUAACCUGCCCUUGACUUUGGGAUAACUUCGGGAAACUGGGGCUAAUACCGGAUAGGAGCUCCUGCUGCAUGGUGGGGGUUGGAAAGUUUCGGCGGUUGGGGAUGGACUCGCGGCUUAUCAGCUUGUUGGUGGGGUAGUGGCUUACCAAGGCUUUGACGGGUAGCCGGCCUGAGAGGGUGACCGGCCACAUUGGGACUGAGAUACGGCCCAGACUCCUACGGGAGGCAGCAGUGGGGAAUAUUGCACAAUGGGCGGAAGCCUGAUGCAGCAACGCCGCGUGCGGGAUGACGGCCUUCGGGUUGUAAACCGCUUUCGCGUGUGACGAAGCGUGAGUGACGGUAAUGGGUAAAGAAGCACCGGCUACUACGUG